rnacentral:rRNA from 1 species
AGUGAACGCUGGCGGUAGGCCUAACACAUGCAAGUCGAACGGCAGCACAGUAAGAGCUUGCUCUUACGGGUGGCGAGUGGCGGACGGGUGAGGAGUACAUCGGAAUCUACUUUUUCGUGGGGGAUAACGUAGGGAAACUUACGCUAAUACCGCAUACGACCUACGGGUGAAAGCAGGGGAUCUUCGGACCUUGCGCGAUUGAAUGAGCCGAUGUCGGAUUAGCUAGUUGGCGGGGUAAAGGCCCACCAAGGCGACGAUCCGUAGCUGGUCUGAGAGGAUGAUCAGCCACACUGGAACUGAGACACGGUCCAGACUCCUACGGGAGGCAGCAGUGGGGAAUAUUGGACAAUGGGCGCAAGCCUGAUCCAGCCAUACCGCGUGGGUGAAGAAGGCCUUCGGGUUGUAAAGCCCUCUUGUUGGGAAAGAAAAGCAGCAGGUUAAUACCCCGCUGUUCUGACGGUACCCAAAGAAUAAGCACCGGCUAACUUCGUG